GGGUUCCGGGGGCAUCGGGAUGGGGGGGUAGCCGCGCGGCGGUUUGAACGCCGAAAAAUGGGCAUGUUCGGGGUGCGCUCAGUAGGUUUAGACGGUUUUCGGCGUAUCUCAUGAUCCGAGCAUCCGAUUCCGUUUCCGUCAGGUCCCACGGGACCAGGGGUCCGGGGGCAUCGGGAUGGGGGGGUAGCCGUGCGGCGGUUUGAACGCCGAAAAAUGGGCAUGAUCGGGGCGGUUUGGCCGGUUUGGCCGGUUUCGGCCCGCCGGGGGGCGGUUCAUGCCCCGGGGGGGACCGCGGGGCGGGAUCGGGAGGCGGCGGACGCGUUC
rnacentral:lncRNA from 1 species